UACGGAGGGUGCGGGCGUUGUCCGGAAUCAUUGGGCGUAAAGGGCGCGUAGGUGGCCUGGCAAGCGUGCGGUGAAAGCUCGGGGCUCAACCCCGAGUCGGCCGUGCGAACUGCUGGGCUCGAGCACUGUAGAGGCAGGCGGAAUUCCGGGUGUAGCGGUGGAAUGCGUAGAGAUCCGGAAGAACACCGGUGGCGAAGGCGGCCUGCUGGGCAGUGGCUGACACUGAGGCGCGACAGCGUGGGGAGCAAACAGG
rnacentral:rRNA from 1 species